AUGGCCACAUCAUGUUGAAACACCAGUUUCUGUACAAUCACCGAAGUUAAGCAAUGUCUAGCCUGGUUAGUAUUUAGAUGGGUGACUGUUUGAGAAUAUCAAGUGCUGCAAGC